UAGCAUAUCAAUAAGCGGAGGAAAAGAAACCAACAGGGAUUGCCCCAGUAACGGCGAGUGAAGCGGCAACAGCUCAAAUUUGAAAUCUGGCCCCUAGGGUCCGAGUUGUACUUUGCAGAGGAUGCUUUGGGCGAGGUGCCUUCCGAGUUCCCUGGAACGGGACGCCACAGAGGGUGAGAGCCCCGUCUGGUCGGACACCGAGCCUGUGUAAAGCUCCUUCGACGAGUCGAGUAGUUUGGGAAUGCUGCUCAAAAUGGGAGGUAUAUGUCUUCUAAAGCUAAAUAUUGGCCAGAGACCGAUAGCGCACAAGUAGAGUGAUCGAAAGAUGAAAAGCACUUUGAAAAGAGGGUUAAAAAGUACGUGAAAUUGUUGAAAGGGAAGCGCCUAUGACCAGACUUAGGCCCGGUGAAUCACCCAGCGUUCUCGCUGGUGCACUUUGCCGGGCACAGGCCAGCAUCAGUUUGGCGCGGGGGACAAAGGCUUCGGGAACGUGGCUCCCUCGGGAGUGUUAUAGCCCGCUGCGUAAUACCCUGCGCCGGACUGAGGUACGCGCAUCGCAAGGAUGCUGGCGUAAUGGUCAUCAGCGACCCGUCUUGAAACACGGACCAAGGAGUCGUCUUCGUAUGCGAGUGUUCGGGUGUCAAACCCCUACGCGUAAUGAAAGUGAACGCAGGUGAGAGCUUCGGCGCAUCAUCGACCGAUCCUGAUGUUCUCGGAUGGAUUUGAGUAAGAGCAUACGGGGCCGGACCCGAAAGAAGGUGAACUAUGCCUGUAUAGGGUGAAGCCAGAGGAAACUCUGGUGGAGGCUCGCAGCGGUUCUGACGUGCGAAUCGAUCGUCAAAUAUGGGCAUGGGGGCGAAAGACUAAUCGAACCUUCUAGUAGCUGGUUUCCGCCGAA
rnacentral:rRNA from 1 species